GCCCAGAUGGCGGAAUUGGUAGACGCGCUACUUUGAGGGGGUAGUGUCGGUUUCGACGUGCAAGUUCGAGUCUUGUUCUGGGCACCA
rnacentral:tRNA from 1 species